UACAGAGGUCUCAAGCGUUGUUCGGAUUCAUUGGGCGUAAAGGGUGCGUAGGCGGCGCGGUAAGUCGGAUGUGAAAUCUCGGAGCUUAACUUCGAAACUGCAUUCGAUACUGCCGUGCUUGAGGACUGGAGAGGAGACUGGAAUUUACGGUGUAGCGGUGAAAUGCGUAGAUAUCGUAAGGAAGACCAGUGGCGAAAGGCGGG
rnacentral:rRNA from 1 species